UACGUAGGGGGCAAGCGUUAUCCGGAUUUACUGGGUGUAAAGGGGGCGCAGACGGCGAUGCAAGCCAGGAGUGAAAGCCCGGGGCCCAACCCCGGGACUGCUCUUGGAACUGCGUGGCUGGAGUGCAGGAGGGGCAGGCGGAAUUCCUGGUGUAGCGGUGAAAUGCGUAGAUAUCAGGAGGAACACCGGUGGCGAGGGCGGCCUGCUGGACUGCAACUGACGUUGAGGCCCGAAAGCGUGGGGAGCAAACAGG
rnacentral:rRNA from 1 species